rnacentral:tRNA from 1 species
GGUGGUGUAGCCAAGUGGUCAGGCAAGGGAUUGCAAAUCCCUCUACGCCGGUUCGAUUCCGGCCACCACCUCCA